rnacentral:tRNA from 1 species
GGGGUUAUGGUAUAAUGGCUAUUACGUCUGAUUUGCAAUCAGAAGAUCCGGUUUCGAUUACCGGUAGCUCCACAA